rnacentral:misc_RNA from 1 species
UCUGAUCGAGAGCGAGCCUUCCUUCCGCCGGUCGAGGUCACUAGCAAUUCCAUUUCUCCGGUCAAAGCCACCGAUUGACUCUGAUAGCUCUAUCCGCAAAGAAAGCCCAAAGACGACAUCUCCGUUUUGGUCACUGUUCAAAACUAGCAGUAGUAGCGGUAACAGGAGUAAGAGAGGCGAUGUGGAGAGAAACUUUGCUAUUUUACAACAAGAAGAUGGGAAAAAGAAGAAGGAAGAAGAUGAGAGGAGGAGGAUGAUGCGGAAAUCGAGGUCUAUGGCGGUUGGUGUGACGUCAGCUUCCGGUGUUGCUGACGUAAAAUCAUCCAAAGCGAAGGGCUGGUAUUUUCCGAGUCCGAUCAAGGCGUUCAGGCAAUCGAUUUCAAGGGGAAUAAUGGUGCAACAAAGGUCACCUUUGUAUAGAAAUUAAUUUUUGUAUAUAUUACAAGAAAAAAUAUAUAAUUAACUGAUAAACAAACUAAUUAUUAUAUUUAUCUUUUUUCCCAUUUUUUUUAAAAAAAUUUCUUGGAAAUGAAUGGUUGAAGAAGGAGAAGGAAUUGAUUUUCUAUAGAUUUUGCGGAUUUAACUUAAAAUUGAAUGAUGUGAAAGCAUAAUUGGUUAUAUAAUUAGGGUACAAAAGCUAGAUUGGAAAUCUUGGAGUGUUACAGUUAACUGCUUCAUAAUUCAGGAAGAAUUCCAGAUAUCUGGACUUUGGACCCACUUGAUGUGGUUUGAAAAUAAAAUUCUGCAAGCGUAACUUGUAGAAUUCUCAAGUACCAGGACAGAAUAAUACUUUGGUUGAGUUGUAGAUUGAAGAAUUUAGGUCGGUAGGGCUGCUAGGCCGUGUGUGUCUAUUUUUAUUUGCAAUUUGUAAUGUUGUAUUUGAAAUAAGAUAAAAAAAAUUAUAUUUUAA